UACGGAGGGAGCUAGCGUUGUUCGGAAUUACUGGGCGUAAAGCGCACGUAGGCGGCUUUGUAAGUUUAGGGGUGAAAGCCUGGAGCUCAAACUUCCAGAAUUGCCCUUAAGGACUGCAUCGCUUGAAUCCAGGAGAGGUGAGUGGAAUUCCGAGUGUAGAGGUGAAAUUCGUAGAUAUUACGGAAGAACACCAGUGGCGAAGGGCGGCUCACUGGACUGGUAUUGACGCUGAGGCGCGAAAGCCAGGGGAGCAAACGGG
rnacentral:rRNA from 1 species